UCGAAUCUUAACAUACUAAUUGUUGGGUAUAAAAUUUUCCUUCCAACCGAAGUUCGUGUCAGGAGUGACCAUUCAGGGAUUCUACUGACGUCCGACCUUCGGCGACUUCUCUCCUGCGGUCGAGUCUCCGCAGCAUUUUCGAGUUCUACCGACGGAUAAACCCCCCACUAGCAUUCUUCACGACUGCAGGAAGAUUUCGUCCGGACUCCUACGGGAGUCGGACUUCAUCCCCGACCCCGACUGCAGGUAGACUUCGUCCGGACUCCCACGGGAGCCGGACUUCGUCCCCGACUCCAAUCGCAGG
rnacentral:lncRNA from 1 species